rnacentral:tRNA from 1 species
GGUCGUGUGGUGUAGUGGUAUCACAUUGGUCUUACACACCACAGGUCGUAGGUUCGAACCCUGCCACGAUCA